ensembl:lncRNA
GUGGGGGGACGACGCUCUCCAAGUAGCCUACUGUCUCUUGGUGGUGAAACGGGGGACAGCGCUCUCCAAGUAGCCUACUGUCUCUGGUGGUGAAACGGGGACACGCGCUCUCCAAGUAGCCUACUGUCUCUGGUGGUGAAACGGGGACAGCGCUCUCCAAGUAGCCUACUGUCUCUGGUGUGAGGAACGGGGGACAGCGCUCUCCAAGUAGCCUACUGUCUCUGUGGUGAAAGGGGGACAGCGCUCUCCAGACCACUGUCUCUGGUGGGAAACGGGGGACAGCGCUCUCCAAGUAGCCUACUGUCUCUGGUGGGAAGGGGACAGCGCUCUCCAAGUAGCCAGUCUCUGGUGGUGAAACGGGGGACAGCGCUCCUCCAAGUAGCCUACUGUCUCUGGUGGUGAAACGGGGGACAGCGCUCUCCAAGUAGCCUACUGUCUCUGGUGGUGAAACGGGGGCAGCGCUCUCCAAGUAGCCUACUGUCUCUGGUGGUGAAACGGGGGACAGGCGCUCUCCAAGGUAGCCUCUGUCUCUGGUGGUGAAACGGGGACAGCGCGCUCCUCCAAGUAGCCUACUGUCUCUGGUGGUGAAGGGGGACAGGCUCUCCAAGGUAGCCUACUGUCUCUGGUGGUGAAAGCGGGGACAGCGCUCUCGCAAGUAGCCUACUGUCUCUGGUGGUGAAACGGGGGACAGCGCUCUCCAAGUAGCCUAAUGUCUCUGGUGUUGAAACGGGGGACGGCGCUCUCCAGGUAGCCUACUGUCUCUGGUGGGAAACGGGGGACAGCGUUCUCCAAGUAGCCUACUGUCUCGGUGGGGAAACGGACGGCCCUCUACGUAGACUACUGUCUCUGGUGGUGAAACUGGGACAGCGCUCUCCAUGUAGCCUACUGUCUCUGGUGGUGAAACGGGGGCGGCGCUCUCCAAGUAGUCUACUGUCUCUGGUGGUGAAACGGGGGACGGCUCUCUCAAGUAGGCACUGUCCUCUGGUGGUGAAACGGACGGCUUCCAAGUAGCCUAAUGUCUCUGGUGGUGAAACGGGGGACGGCGCUCUCCAAGUAGCCUACUGUCUCUGGUGGUGAAACGGACGGCCCUCUCCAGUAGCCUACUGUCUCUGGUGGGGAAACGGGGGACAGCGUUCUCCAAGUAGCCUACUGUCUCUGGUGGGGAAACGGACGGCCCUCUCCAAGUAGACUACUGUCUCUGGUGGGUGAAAGGGGGACAGCGCUCUCCAAGUAGUCUACUGUCUCUGGUGGUGAAACGGACGGCCCUCUCCAAGUAGCCUACUGUCUCUGGUGGUGAGACGGAUGGCCCUCUCCAAGUACUCUACUGUCUCUGGUGGUGAAAACUGGGGACAGCGCUCUCCAAGUAGCCUACGUCUCUGGUGGUGAAAACAGGGGACAGCGCUCUCCAAGUAGCCUACUGUUUCUGGUGGGGAAACGGACGGCCCUCUCCAUGGUACUGAUUAAUUCAAAGCAUUUUAGACGUCACUGCAGUACGCCCACAUACUCGGUAUCGCCACGGGGUUUUACACAAGUCCCAAUUUCUUUAUGGCAUCGUUUUCAACA